UACAGAGGUCCCCGAGCGUUGUUCGGAUUCAUUGGGCGUAAAGGGUGCGUAGGCGGCGGGGCAAGUCUGAUGUGAAAUCCCGGGGCUCAACCCCGGAACUGCAUUGGAUACUGCCUUGCUCGAGUACUGGAGAGGGAACUGGAAUUUACGGUGUAGCAGUGAAAUGCGUAGAGAUCGUAAGGAAGGCCAGUGGCGAAGGCGAGUUGCUGGGCUGAUACUGACGCUGAGGCGCGAAAGCCAGGGGAGCGAACGGG
rnacentral:rRNA from 1 species